rnacentral:rRNA from 1 species
CGACUUAUAUUCUGUAGCAAGGUUAACCGAAUAGGGGAGCCGAAGGGAAACCGAGUCUUAACUGGGCGUUAAGUUGCAGGGUAUAGACCCGAAACCCGGUGAUCUAGCCAUGGGCAGGUUGAAGGUUGGGUAACACUAACUGGAGGACCGAACCGACUAAUGUUGAAAAAUUAGCGGAUGACUUGUGGCUGGGGGUGAAAGGCCAAUCAAACCGGGAGAUAGCUGGUUCUCCCCGAAAGCUAUUUAGGUAGCGCCUCGUGAAUUCAUCUCCGGGGGUAGAGCACUGUUUCGGCAAGGGGGUCAUCCCGACUUACCAACCCGAUGCAAACUGCGAAUACCGGAGAAUGUUAUCACGGGAGACACACGGCGGGUGCUAACGUCCGUCGUGAAGAGGGAAACAACCCAGACCGCCAGCUAAGGUCCCAAAGUCAUGGUUAAGUGGGAAACGAUGUGGGAAGGCCCAGACAGCCAGGAUGUUGGCUUAGAAGCAGCCAUCAUUUAAAGAAAGCGUAAUAGCUCACUGGUCGAGUCGGCCUGCGCGGAAGAUGUAACGGGGCUAAACCAUGCACCGAAGCUGCGGCAGCGACACUGUGUGUUGUUGGGUAGGGGAGCGU